rnacentral:rRNA from 1 species
UACCAGACUCCUACGGGAGGCAGCAGUGGGGAAUAUUGCACAAUGGGGGAAACCCUGAUGCAGCGACGCCGCGUGAGCGAUGAAGUAUUUCGGUAUGUAAAGCUCUAUCAGCAGGGAAGAAGAUGACGGUACCUGACUAAGAAGCCCCGGCUAACUACGUGCCAGCAGCCGCGGUAAUACGUAGGGGGCAAGCGUUAUCCGGAUUUACUGGGUGUAAAGGGGGCGCAGACGGCGAUGCAAGCCAGGAGUGAAAGCCCGGGGCCCAACCCCGGGACUGCUCUUGGAACUGCGUGGCUGGAGUGCAGGAGGGGCAGGCGGAAUUCCUGGUGUAGCGGUGAAAUGCGUAGAUAUCAGGAGGAACACCGGUGGCGAAGGCGGCCUGCUGGACUGCAACUGACGUUGAGGCCCGAAAGCGUGGGGAGCAAACAGGAUUAGAUACCCCAGUACAC